UCGUGUCGGUCCUUUGCAAAAUCCACAAAGAGACAGGGAGAGAAGGAGGGUGGACACUCUGUAGUCUCGAGUCUCUGAGCUUUUGCGCUAUUUCCUCUCGGAUGCGAUAAAACCUAGAAGCACAGGUGAAUUAAAACCCCAGGGUGGAAUUUGAAAUAUUUGGAGGAUAUGGACUGGUGGAGUGGAGUUAGCCUGAUGUGCAAGAAAAUGCCAGGAAUUUCAGCCCCUUAUUUAUCACCACACAACAAAGUCAAGCUGCCACCAGACAAGAUGAGGAGCAGCAAUCAGCCUGCAGAUGGAAGCAAGGGUGGGUGGUUGGAAGGCUGGAUAAAGGCUGCUGGAUGACUGAACUCAGAGACCCGGCGCAGCUCAUCAUCAUUGCCAUGGGCUCUUGUCUUCUUCCUCUCCUCCUGUGGCUUGUACCUCCAUCCAGGGGUCCAGCAGAGCCAGUGAAGCCCAGGCGGGGAGCUAGUGAGUGGGCCGGGAAGGAUGGAGAAGGUCCCCAAAGGCUCAGAUCACCUCUGGAGCUACCGGCAUGCAGGAGAAAUCAAUAUGAAACAGAAAACCUUCACAGCUCUGAGUGGGGUUUCCUGUGUUUUAAGUGUGUGGCCUACGGGCCUGCAGACCUCCAAAAGACAGGUCCUGUGUGGUUCUCUCAGCUGCAGCCCUGGCUCCUUGGACUGGACCUCAGUCCCAAUCUCCACUGACUGUGUGUGUGGUUCUGCUGAAGGGGAUUUCUCCCCAAAUAAUACCCAAUGCCCAGAACGUUGAAAGACUGCCAAGAGGGAUGCUCCUUUCUCUUGCCUUUUUUUUCCAUCAUAAGAUUGACAUAUCCCCCCAACCUCCUGCCUCGGGCUGAUAAAAAAACAAAAAAAAACCACACAGUUCGGGAGCUCUACUUUUGACUCAUUCUCCAUCCUCGACUCGCCCGUUGUUUAUUCCCCCAACUAGUUUUUACAUUUGACAAAGAGACAGAUCUUUAUUUUCUCUACCACUCGCUUGGCUUGCUGUUACUAUGGUGAGCUGUAGACACGUGUCUGUUUAAACCAGAAAUACUGGCACACGAAGUAUGAGCUUCUCUUUUUUUUCUCCAUGAUGUCUAUUAUUCAAUUUCAGACUGUUUAAAAAAACUGACUGAACAGCAAAGAGGGCUGGAGAUCAUAGAGCAGAGAGACCUUGUAGUGGAGAUGGUAAAAUGGCAAGUAUCUCUCUUUAGCACUUCACAUUUUCCACUCUAUGAACUACUCUGAAUGCGCUGUCAUUACAUCACACAUUGCCUAAAAUAGCCUGUGACAGGGAGAGAUGGUAACUCGGCAUCCUUUGAGGCCGAUUUAGGAUUACAGCUGUGAAAAAAAGAGGUGUUUCUUUAAUUAUAAGAUGCCACUCGUGCUUUCAAUCUCUACUCUCGCUGUAUAAUUCUUAUCUACAUCACAGAGCUGUGUGUGUGUGUGUGUGUGUGUGUGUGUGUGUGUGUGUGUGUGUGUGUGUGUGUGUGUGUAAAUGGACUGUAUAUGUUUGGCCUUGAGUGUUUGAGCUGCGAGCAGCAGCAGCAGUGUGCACCCACAUCUCCCAAACUGCUGUCGUCGUCACAGUAAUGCAGCGUGGUUGUUUCCAUCCAGAUGGGCACAGCUUCAGACAAAAUG